rnacentral:rRNA from 1 species
GGGGGCCCGCACAAGGCGGUGGAGCAUGUGGUUUAAUUUCGACGCAACGCGAAGAACCUUACCAGGUUUUGAACAUCCCCUGAUGACUCCAGAGAUGGAGAGUUCAAUCUUUGAUUGACAGGGAGACAGGUGGUGCAUGGUGUCGUCAGCUCGUGUCGUGAGAUGUUGGGUUAAGUCCCGCAACGAGCGCAACCCUUAUUCUUAGUUGCCAGCAUUUCGGAUGGGCACUCUAGGGAGACUGCCGGUGACAAACCGGAGGAAGGUGGGGAUGACGUCAAAUCAUCAUGCCCUUUAUGACCUGGGCAACACACGUGCUACAAUGGCCUGUACAGAGGGUUGCGAAACCGUGAGGUGUAGCUAAUCCCAAAAAGCAGGUCUCAGUUCGGAUUGCAGGCUGCAACUCGCCUGCAUGAAGUAGGAAUCGCUAGUAAUCGCGGAUCAGCAUGCCGCGGUGAAUACGUUCCCGGGCCUUGUACACACCGCCCGUCACACCACGAAAGUUGGCAACACCCGAAGCCGAUGGAGCAACCUUUUAGGAGCAAGUCGUCGAAGGUGGGGCCGAUGAUUGGGGUGAAGUCGUAACAAGGUAACCAAGGGCGAA